GCCAUUGCAAUUAACAAUCUGAAAUCGUUCUGUCAUCUAUUGUACAUUUCUUUCUUCUUUUAUCAUUUCUGGGCGCGUAAGAGACUGUGAGAGCGAACGGGACUGCAAUUCCUAAGAGAUUAUCGGCCAUGGCGUCGCCCUCUUCCUCUGACGAACCUCCAAAUCAAUCACAGGAACAGCAGCAACCGCCAGUGAAGGAGAAGGAAAAAGAGUGCGUGUAUAAGACCAAAGCUAUUCAAUUUCUGGGCCGCCCUACGCCUAUUGUCCUCCAGAACGAUAAUGGCCCUUGCCCUCUCCUCGCCAUAUGUAAUGUUCUCUUGUUGCGGAACAACUUAAAUUUGGGUCCAGAUGCAACAGAAGUGUCGCAGGAGAAAUUGUUAUCUCUGGUUGCUGAACGGUUGAUUGAUUCAAAUAGUAAUGUUGAUAACAAAGAUGCUGGUUUUGUUGAGAAUCAACAACAGAACAUUGCUGAUGCCAUUGAUCUGCUGCCACGGCUAGCAACAGGGAUAGAUGUAAAUAUUAAGUUUAGGAGGAUUGAUGAUUUUGAAUUCACUCCAGAAUGUGCCAUUUUUGAUUUGUUGGAUAUCCCUCUGUAUCAUGGUUGGAUUGUUGAUUCUCAGGAUCAUGAUACAGCUAAUGCAAUUGGUUCCAAGUCCUACAACGCUAUUAUGGAGGAGCUCGUUGCUCUGGAAACACAACACAUGGAGGGUCAGUGUACGAACAAUCCUGAAGAUGACUGUAUUGAUUUUGUAGCUGCAACAACAGCAACACUUGGGGUACCAUCUCCAAGUCUUUCAAAAGCUCGAUCUUUUGAUGAAUCACCUCGUUCAGUCUUUGAUGAGCAACAAAUGAGAAAAGGGGAUCUUGAAGAAGAGGCAGAGUUAUUGAGAGCCUUGAAGUUGUCUGAAUCUGAAACACCAAUCUUAAUGAGUAAUCAUGGUGUUGCCAACGCUGAGGGGGAUACUAACUCCACUAAAUUGGAUGAGGAGCUAUCUCCUGAAAAGGUUUCAGUCAUAGAUUCUGUGGUGAAGACCGUAGCAAAAGACACCUGUGCUGCAGACAAUAAUCUUAGCCAGCAGUCAGAUUCAUCCAUUGCAGAUUCUAGCAAAAUUUCAUUGAGCAAGACUGAUGAAGAUGUGUCCCCUAUUUCCAAUGCAACAGAGCUAGUAAGCUCUUCACCAUUGACGACUGAUGCGGGAAAGCAACUUGAUCGGACUGUUGAGUCUGAAGGGCAUAAGAUUUGCCCUGACUUGCUGGAGAAGGACAAUCAUGAAACAUUGACUGAGACUGUCACCAGUUCUGGAAGAGAGGGUGCCUUGGUGAAUGAUAGUCCUGAGGAUAUUUCUCACAUGAACGAUAAAAGUGCUUUUUCAGCUGCUUUUGAAACAGUUGACCAUAGACCGGUUGAUAAGGAAGGCCCAAUUGAACUUUCUGGCCUCUCUCCAUCUGUUACUUGUACAGAUUCAGCAGGUGGUAAAACUCAAUGUAUUGAUGUACCUGAAGGUUUGACUUCAAUCGUUGGUAGCGAACCCAUAUAUGAAGGAGAGGAAUGUAUAUUGGAUCCAGGAAGUUCAGUUCUUGAAGUUCGAGAGCCUGUAUAUGAAGGCGAAGUAGUUAUUGCAGAACAAGGUUGUGGAAGCUCUGUAAAUUUCUGUAGUCCACCGUCAAAGGAUGAAAUUAGUCCAAAACAAGGGGAGCUGAUUAGGAAUUUUUUGAAGAAUAAUGCUAGUCAGUUAACUUUUUACGGCCUUUUCUGUUUACAAGAUGGCCUUAAAGAGCGUGAGCUUUGUGUUUUUUUCCGUAAUAAUCACUUCAGCACCAUGUUUAAGCUUGAUGGCCAGCUUUAUCUUUUAGCUACAGACCAAGGUUACAUUCAUCAACCUGAUUUGGUGUGGGAAAAGCUAAAUGAGGUAAAUGGAGACACUUUGUUUAUGACGAGCAAUUUCAAAGAAUUCAAAGUAGAAAGUCAUUCAAAUGAGUCUUGGGAUGAACAGAAUGCUUUGACAAGCACAGCGGACUAUCUUGCUAGCAUUGAUGCUGCGAAACAUGCCGGAUUGGAUUUUAAUUCUGACCUACAAUUAGCAAUAGCCCUGCAACAGCAGGAGUUUGAACAACAACCACAGCGACAAAAUGUGCAGCAGCCAUCUUCAGGCGGCAGUUCAACACUGGUUGUGGGUCCUCAGGUGCCUGGAACCAGUGGCAAAACCCCGCCAUCUUCUUCGUCAAGGACUGACACGAAAUCGAAGGAGAAGUGCAGUGUGAUGUGAAUUUUGCUUUGCAGAUUCCGUAGGAAAUCAUUUAUAUUUUGUUCCCUGUAAAUGGUUUGUUGUCUUCUCAAUUGAACCGCAUGCUGUUGACUAACCUAAUUCCUUACGACAGUUUGGAUGCAGUUUUCCAUUUUGUAUAUAAAGGAGUAUAUAUCCCAUUCCCCCAUUUCUGUAGGCUCGUAAAAUCUUUUCUUCUGGAUAUUAACAUCAGAGGAUAUGUAAGAAACGCAGAGCUAUGUAUCUUAAACAUCAAUUGGAAAACCAAGGAAUAUAAUGUUUACUCUUUUAAGGGUUCAACCCAAGGCCACCGUUGGCAGGAAUUGUCCUCUUUGGACUAAUUUCUGGGCGAACCACUCAUCAGGUUCUUCCUCAAAUUUGCACUGAAACUAGCAAUAUUAAGGCUCGUUGUUUUUUAGUUUUUUUUUUUUUUUCUGAAAUUUAUGUGUAUUUCUUCUUGGAUUUUGUUCUAUUAUUUUCAUCUUUCUGAAAGAAAUGUUCGAGUUCUUGGUCAAA